rnacentral:rRNA from 1 species
GAUGAACGCUAGCGGCAGGCCUAACACAUGCAAGUCGAGGGGUAGAGGAAGCUUGCUUCCUUGAGACCGGCGCACGGGUGCGUAACGCGUAUGCAAUCUACCUUUUACAGAGGGAUAGCCCAGAGAAAUUUGGAUUAAUACCUCAUAGUAUCUUUGCCUGGCAUCGGGUGAUUAUUAAAGUUCUAACGGUAAAAGAUGAGCAUGCGUCCUAUUAGCUAGAUGGUAAGGUAACGGCUUACCAUGGCAACGAUAGGUAGGGGUCCUGAGAGGGAGAUCCCCCACACUGGUACUGAGACACGGACCAGACUCCUACGGGAGGCAGCAGUGGGGAAUUUUGGACAAUGGGCGAAAGCCUGAUCCAGCCAUGCCGCGUGUCUGAAGAAGGCCUUCGGGUUGUAAAGGACUUUUGUCGGGGAGGAAAUCCCCAGCGUUAAUACCGCUGGGGGAUGACAGUACCUGAAGAAUAAGCACCGGCUAACUACGUGCCAGCAGCCGCAGUAACAC